rnacentral:rRNA from 1 species
CCUACGGGCGGCCGCAGUCGAGAAUCAUUCACAAUGGGGGAAACCCUGAUGGUGCGACGCCGCGUGGGGGAAUGAAGGUCUUCGGAUUGUAAACCCCUGUCAUGUGGGAGCAAAUUACAACGAUAGUACCACCCGAGGAAGAGACUGCUAACUCUGUGCCAGCAGCCGCGUUAAUACAGAGGUCUCAAGCGUUGUUCGGAAUCACUGGGAGUAAAGCGUUCGUAGGCUGUUUCGUAAGUCGGGUGUGAAAGGCGCGGGCUCAACCCGCGGACGGCACAUGAUACUGCGAGACUAGAGUAAUGGAGGGGGAACCGGAAUUCGCGGUGUAGCAGUGAAAUGCGUAGAUAUCGAGAGGAACACUCGUGGCGAAGGCGGGUUCCUGGACAUUAACUGACGCUGAGGCACGAAGGCCAGGGGAGCGAAAGGGAUUAGAUACCCUUGUAGUC